rnacentral:rRNA from 1 species
UACGAAGGGGGCUAGCGUUGCUCGGAAUCACUGGGCGUAAAGGGUGCGUAGGCGGGUCUUUAAGUCAGGGGUGAAAUCCUGGAGCUCAACUCCAGAACUGCCUUUGAUACUGAAGAUCUUGAGUUCGGGAGAGGUGAAUGGAACUGCGAGUGUAGAGGUGAAAUUCGUAGAUAUUCGCAAGAACACCGGUGGCGAAGGCGGCAUCCUGGACCAACACUGACACUGAGGAGCGAAAGCCAGGGGAGCAAACGGG